GCAUCUAAGCGUGAAGCCCCCCUCAAGAUGAGAUUUCCCAUAACGUAAGUUAGUAAGACCCCUUGAAGAACACAAGGUAGAUAGGUGAGAGGUGUAAGUGCAGCAAUGUAUUCAGCUGACUCAUACUAAUAGGUCGAGGACUUAAUCAAA
rnacentral:rRNA from 1 species